UUGUCUAGAAAUUUGAAACUCACCCAUUCUAUUUAACCCAAACUAAAUUAAUUUACUCUUAAGUAAAAUUAGAAUACCCAUUUCUACUUAAUAGAAUAAAAAAUUUAACAACCAUCAAAUUAAAAUUCAAGAAAAUAUAACAAAUCUAAAUAAUUUGGCAGUUUAACUUUCUUAUUAGGGGAAUCUGCUCUGUUAAGGAUAAUACACCACAAAAUUCUCUUCUCUUACCCUUAUAUACCGCCGUGAAAUAUUUUAAAUAAAAUAUCCAUCUUUAUAUAAAAAUAAUUCAGGUCAAGGUGUAGGUAUAUUGAAGUAUGAAGUGGAUUACAUUCAAUUAAUUGAUACGAAAAUUAUAAAGCAUUUUAAAAUUAAAGGAGGACUUAAAUGUAAAAAAAAAAAUAAUAUAUCCAAUUGGCAUAGCUCUGUUAA
rnacentral:rRNA from 1 species